GCUGUAACAAGUCAAAUGCAAGGGGAGCUGCUUUGAGAGCCCUCAACUUGCACUGUUCACCUGUCAGGUUUUAUCUUUCAGGGGUCAGCCAAGCCAGUGGGAAGCCUACGACAUUCCCCUGGGUCACUUAGUGAACUCCUACUCUUUCAUCAGGCCUCACUUGAACAUGACUUCCUCCAGAAGCCUUCCCAGACAUCUUUGCCUUCACUGUAUGAACAAUGCCUGAUCAUUCUUCCAGAGGAUGAGAAACCAAAGGGAUCAAAAAGGAGCUGUUCCAGCUGAGCCCUUUAGCUUAGCCAGCUCCCACCUGACCAGCUAUUAAUAGUCGACCAGAGAUGUAUGAAUCAGCAAGUUGAGAUCAGUCCAAAGGAAAGUUGGAUGGCCAUGAAACCAAUAACUUGGUAGUAGAGACAUCAAUGGGUCUAUAAGUCUGUGACUACGUAUGCCAAAUUUUUGUCAAUUUGCAUUGCAAUAAAGGAACACCUGAGGCUGGGUAAAUCAUAAAUAGGUGAUGUGGCUCAAGGUUCUCUAGGAUGUACAAGAAGCAUGGUACCACCAUCUGCUUCUGGUGAGGGCCUCAGGCUGCUUCCACUUACGGCAAAAGGUAAAGAGGAGCAAGCAUUGCAUGAUUGGAAGGAGUAAUGCACAGGAUCAAGAGGA
rnacentral:lncRNA from 1 species